rnacentral:rRNA from 1 species
UNNNCCGGAGUACUAUGAAUAUUAAAAAUUUAAAACUCAAAGAACUUGGCGGUGUUUUAGACCACUCAGGGGAACCUGUCUCAUAAUCGAUAAUCCACGUUAUACCUGACCUUUUCUUGUAUUCAGUUUGUAUACCGUUGUCGUCAGGUAACUUUUUAGAGACUAGAAGUUAGCAGCAGAAAUAAGAAUAAUUUAAUACGUCAAAUCAAGGUGCAGCUAAUGAAAGGGGGAGGAUGGGUUACAAUUAUAUGAUUUAUAAUAACGGAUAAGUAUAUGAAGUAUAUUAAUUAUAAGGCGGACUUGAAAGUAAAUUAAGUUAUAUAGAUAAUUUGAAUAAGGCUCUGAAACGUGU